rnacentral:rRNA from 1 species
GCGGCGGACGGGUGAGUAACACGUGGGCAACCUGCCCGCAAGACCGGGAUAACUCCGGGAAACCGGAGCUAAUACCGGAUAACACCGAAGACCGCAUGGUCUUGGGUUGAAAGGCGGCCUUUGGGCUGUCACUUGCGGAUGGGCCCGCGGCGCAUUAGCUAGUUGGUGAGGUAACGGCUCACCAAGGCGACGAUGCGUAGCCGGCCUGAGAGGGUGACCGGCCACACUGGGACUGAGACACGGCCCAGACUCCUACGGGAGGCAGCAGUAGGGAAUCUUCCGCAAUGGGCGAAAGCCUGACGGAGCGACGCCGCGUGAGCGAAGAAGGCCUUCGGGUCGUAAAGCUCUGUUGUGAGGGACGAAGGAGCGCCGUUUGAAGAAGGCGGCGCGGUGACGGUACCUCACGAGAAAGCCCCGGCUAACUACGUGCCAGCAGCCGCGGUAAUAC